GCUCUGGCUGGCUCCCAUCAGAUAUACGCCGGCUGUUGGCAAGCGGGAAGGAAGCAAGCUGCAGCAGGAACAAAGUCUGUCACCCUCCCAGAACUUGAAGUAGUUGCCGAGGGAAGUCAGCUGGCCCUGGGGGCCCAGGAAGAACAGGAAUGCUGGAAUAAAUUACACGGGUCGACGUCUUGGAGGCGAAGGCAUUCUGGCGCAGCGAAGAAACAAUACAGGUUGUCCUUGGGCCCAGCGGCUGAUCCUUGACCACCUGCUCCAGCCUUGACGUUGGGCAAAUUGGGAACGCUGUACGAGACUUCCUGUCUAAUACUUCCCUAGAUUUCCUGGAAUCCAAUUUGAAAAGCUGUUUCCCCUACAUCACCAAGGAGUUAAACCUUGGCUCUGCUCUCUGGUGACUAAUAGGCACCGUGUGGCUCUGAGCUCAGCGAGAAAGAAACUGACAGUCGGCGUGGGAAGCGUGUGAGAUUUCAGGGCUCUUGCGACGCCUUAGAUGGGCCUGGUGCGCAGGAGCAAGGAGGAUUGCCAUCGAGUGCCCUCAACUAUGUCCUUUUAUCAUGAAUUCUUGGGUUCUUCCUCUGAACUUUGCAUGAUUUUUAAUGAAGAUCUCCAGCUCCUUUGGGGGCCUUAUGUUACGGUGGUGUGUGAGUUAAUUCCAUGGAGAAGGAUAUUUUAAACAGCAAACAAAUUUCACCACUUUGAAAAAGAAUCCAUUUUGAUUGAAAACAGAGCGGAAACAACUGACCUGAUCAAAUCACACUUGAUGUGUGUUGGGGGUGGGGGGAUAUCUUCUUUCUACUCUUGCUGUUUGCUU
ensembl:lncRNA